rnacentral:misc_RNA from 1 species
GCAGGAUUUUUUCAAUGGGAAGGAACUAUGCAAGAGCAUCAAUCCAGAUGAGGCUGUUGCAUAUGGUGCUGCUGUCCAAGCUGCCAUCUUGAGCGGUGAGGGAAAUGAGAAGGUGCAGGAUCUUCUUCUAUUGGAUGUCACCCCACUUUCUCUUGGUUUGGAAACCGCGGGUGGAGUGAUGACUGUUUUGAUCCCAAGGAACACCACCAUUCCCACAAAGAAGGAGCAAGUCUUCUCUACCUACUCCGACAACCAGCCCGGUGUGUUGAUCCAAGUAUACGAAGGUGAAAGAACAAGAACCCGCGACAACAACUUGCUUGGGAAAUUCGAACUCUCCGGUAUCCCUCCAGC